AAUAGAUACCCCGGUAGUCCAUGCCGUAAAACGUUGGGCACUAGGUGUGGGGGACAUUCCACGUUUUCCGCGCCGUAGCUAACGCAUUAAGUGCCCCGCCUGGGAAGUACGGCCGCAAGGCUAAAACUCAAAGGAAUUGACGGGGGCCCGCACAAGCGGCGGAGCAUGCGGAUUAAUUCGAUGCAACGCGAAGAACCUUACCAAGGCUUGACAUGUGCCAGACCGCCUCAGAGAUGGGGUUUCCCUUCGGGGCUGGUUCACAGGUGGUGCAUGGUUGUCGUCAGCUCGUGUCGUGAGAUGUUGGGUUAAGUCCCGCAACGAGCGCAACCCUCGUUCCAUGUUGCCAGCACGUAGUGGUGGGGACUCAUGGGAGACUGCCGGGGUCAACGUCGGAGGAAGGUGGGGAUGACGUCAAAUCAUCAUGCCCCUUAUGUCUUGGGCUUCACGCAUGCUACAAUGGCCGGUACAAUGGGUUGCGAUACUGUGAGGUGGAGCUAAUCCCUAAAAGCCGGUCUCAGUUCGGAUUGGGGU
rnacentral:rRNA from 1 species